rnacentral:rRNA from 1 species
UUCUCCGGAUGAGUUGCGAACGGGUGAGUAACGCGUAGGUAACCUGCCUGGUAGCGGGGGAUAACUAUUGGAAACGAUAGCUAAUACCGCAUAACAGUAGAUAUUGCAUGACAACUGCUUGAAAGGCGCAAUUGCAUCACUACCAGAUGGACCUGCGUUGUAUUAGCUAGUUGGUGAGGUAACGGCUCACCAAGGCGACGAUACAUAGCCGACCUGAGAGGGUGAUCGGCCACACUGGGACUGAGACACGGCCCAGACUCCUACGGGAGGCAGCAGUAGGGAAUCUUCGGCAAUGGACGGAAGUCUGACCGAGCAACGCCGCGUGAGUGAAGAAGGUUUUCGGAUCGUAAAGCUCUGUUGUAAGAGAAGAACGAGUGUGAGAGUGGAAAGUUCACACUGUGACGGUAUCUUACCAGAAAGGGACGGCUAACUACGUGCCAGCAGCCCGCGGUAAUACGUAGGUCCCGAGCGUUGUCCGGAUUUAUUGGGCGUAAAGCGAGCGCAGGCGGUUAGAUAAGUCUGAAGUUAAAGGCUGUGGCUUAACCAUAGUACGCUUUGGAAACUGUUUAACUUGAGUGCAAGAGGGGAGAGUGGAAUUCCAUGUGUAGCGGUGAAAUGCGUAGAUAUAUGGAGGAACACCGGUGGCGAAAGCGGCUCUCUGGCUUGUAACUGACGCUGAGGCUCGAAAGCGUGGGGAGCAAACGGGAUUAGAUACCCUGGUAGUCCACGCCGUAAACGAUGAGUGCUAGGUGUUAGACCCUU